UAGGGAAUAUUGGUUAAUGGGCGAAAGCCUGACCCAGCAACGCCGCGUGCGCGAUGAAGGCCUUCGGGUUGUAAAGCGCUUUUAAGUGGGAUGAGGAAGGACAGUACCACUAGAAUAAGUCUCGGCUAACUCCGUGCCAGCAGCCGCGGUAAUACGGAGGGUGCAAGCGUUAUCCGGAUUUACUGGGUUCAAAGGGUGCGUAGGCGGAUGAAUAAGUCAGUGGUGAAAUCUCCGAGCUUAACUCGGAAACUGCCGUUGAUACUAUUUGUCUUGAAUAUUGUGGAGGUAAGCGGAAUAUGUCAUGUAGCGGUGAAAUGCUUAGAUAUGACAUAGAACACCAAUUGCGAAGGCAGCUUGCUACACAAUCAUUGACGCUGAGGCACGAAAGCGUGGGGAUCAAACA
rnacentral:rRNA from 1 species